rnacentral:snoRNA from 1 species
AAUACGCAUGAUGAACAAGGGACUUAAUACUGAUUCAUUUGAUGUCACCUUCAUGUUAUUCUGACGGUGU